UACGUAGGGUGCAAGCGUUAAUCGGAAUUACUGGGCGUAAAGCGUGCGCAGGCGGUUCUAUAAGGCAGAUGUGAAAUCCCCGGGCUCAACCUGGGAACUGCAUUUGUGACUGUAGAGCUGGAGUGCGGCAGAGGGGGAUGGAAUUCCGCGUGUAGCAGUGAAAUGCGUAGAUAUGCGGAGGAACACCGAUGGCGAAGGCAGUCCCCUGGGCCUGUACUGACGCUCAUGCACGAAAGCGUGGGGAGCAAACAGG
rnacentral:rRNA from 1 species